rnacentral:rRNA from 1 species
GCUUGCUUCUCUGAUGGUUAGCGGCGGACGGGUGAGUAACACGUAGGCAACCUGCCCUCAAGUUUGGGACAACUACCGGAAACGGUAGCUAAUACCGAAUAGUUGUUUUCUUCGCCUGAAGAGAACUGGAAAGACGGAGCAAUCUGUCACUUGGGGAUGGGCCUGCGGCGCAUUAGCUAGUUGGUGAGGUAACGGCUCACCAAGGCGACGAUGCGUAGCCGACCUGAGAGGGUGAUCGGCCACACUGGGACUGAGACACGGCCCAGACUCCUACGGGAGGCAGCAGUAGGGAAUCUUCCGCAAUGGGCGAAAGCCUGACGGAGCAAUGCCGCGUGAGUGAUGAAGGUUUUCGGAUCGUAAAGCUCUGUUGCCAGGGAAGAACGCUUGGGAGAGUAACUGCUCUCAAGGUGACGGUACCUGAGAAGAAAGCCCCGGCUAACUACGUGCCAGCAGCCGCGGUAAUACGUAGGGGGCAAGCGUUGUCCGGAAUUAUUGGGCGUAAAGCGCGCGCAGGCGGUCAUUUAAGUCUGGUGUUUAAUCCCGGGGCUCAACCCCGGAUCGCACUGGAAACUGGGUGACUUGAGUGCAGAAGAGGAGAGUGGAAUUCCACGUGUAGCGGUGAAAUGCGUAGAUAUGUGGAGGAACACCAGUGGCGAAGGCGACUCUCUGGGCUGUAACUGACGCUGA